CAGCCUGAUGCAGCGACGCCGCGUGCGGGAUGGAGGCCUUCGGGUUGUAAACCGCUUUUGUUUGGGAACAAGCCCUUCGGGGUGAGUGUACCUUUCGAAUAAGCACCGGCUAACUACGUGCCAGCAGCCGCGGUAAUAA
rnacentral:rRNA from 1 species